UCUCAUCUUUUCCUACAGCCUGGACCCCGAGGGAGCGCCUGGGCUUCCGGUUUUGUAGGCUGUGCGUCCCUGGACCUGGAGCUUUAUCUGUGUGUGUUCCACGCAGCUGGGUGGUCUCCAGCAGGCGGGUCAGCGGAUUAGGACGUGCAGCUUGACUCACUGGUCUGGUUCAAGGCUUCCAGUUUCUCAUCCACCUCAUCUCUGGAUCCUCACGAGAACUCCUGAGCUAUCUUGCAGAAUCAAGAACAUGAACGGUUGUCCUGAUGCCGCAGCACAAAUCUCAAUAGCCUCGGACUGACUGUCUCACUGGCCCUUCUCCUCUGCUGAGAAGUUAGGGUCACGGGAGGCCUCUCUUCCCUUGUCUCCCACACCCUUUGAGCCUGACAACAUGACCCCACAGAACGUUAGAGAACUAUUCCAUGCCAAGAAGAAAAAUGAGAAGGACUAAGAUGAGAAGAAAGGAGAGGAAGAGGAGGAAGAAAGGUGAGUGGAGGGGAGGCAGGAGCCAGAAGGGGGCAAAAGUCCAUGGUGCUGGGGGCUCUCUACUACAGUGCACCUCCAGACCAUCUCAGAUCGGGUCACUGCCCAGGAAGACAGGGCCUCCAGACAUGCCAGGGAACCUAACCAUUCCACUUUCCUUGUAGAAAUGGUAAAAGGAAAAAGACACCGGAGUUUUUCUGUGUUCGUUAUUUUAUCUGUUAGGAUCCAAAGGAAAGAAACCAGCAUUAAGAGUGCUCUUUCAGAGGAUCCACGCUCAGUACCCACGUGGCAGGGCACAAACAGCCCUGGGGACCCGAUGUGCUCCUGGCUUCCGUGGGCACCGGGCAUCCACGUGGUACAAGGACAGAUAUGCAGACGAAACGUCCAUAUACAAAAAAAUAAAACUUUGAAAAAUAAAAUUUAAACUCGAGUAACGUUGCUAUUAGCAGAGAACUGAACGCAUGGAAGGUACAGACACUGAGAAGAUCGUGGUGGACGCUGAAAUCAGACCCCAAGAGCAGCAGAAGCCGGCACUCACUGCCCUAUGCUGGGCCAGGGGGAGGAGGUAGUAUUGUUGGAGCUCAGAGGUCAAGCUGGUGCAGGGAUGUCCCGAAGGGAGUAGAGCGUACAAGAAGUACAGGUGGUGGUCAUGCCUAGGAGGAGGAGCAAACCCUGGCCUUCCCUUCAUGGACCUGCUAACUGCUCCCAAGUGCCUCGCCGUGAGCGCCAAGCGUGAGGUCAGCCACUCUGCAGAAAAGGCAGGGUCCGUGGGCAAACAAAGGCAUGAGGGGAAGCAGAAUGUCCGUGGGGUAACCGGAGACUGUGGCCCCGAGACAGCCUCGCAGGCUCACCAGACUCUAGCAGGACCCCGUGGCCUCGGAGCUCUACCUAGACCUGGAACGCAGCAUCAGGUGGGCCUUGAGACAUCAGUUCCCGAAUGCACAUAAGACCAAACACAAACUGCCCCGCUAGGAACCGACUACAGAGAGCUGCUCCACACCCCUGCUUGCCUAUGACACUCCAAAGAAACGAGAGAGGAGACCAUCUUACAGAAUGCAGGCGGGAUCUAGGUGUAGUGGUCUGUCCUGUCACCUGGGCAUCCUGUCCCUUUAAAAGACAAGCCCCGCCCCCACACACGUGCUCCUUCUG